GACGAACGCUGGCGGCGUGCCUAAUACAUGCAAGUAGAACGCUGAAGGAAGGAGCUUGCUCUUUCUGGAUGAGUUGCGAACGGGUGAGUAACGCGUAAGUAACCUGCCUGGUAGCGGGGGAUAACUAUUGGAAACGAUAGCUAAUACCGCAUAAAAUUGAUUAUCGCAUGAUAGUCAAUUAAAAGGUGCAACUGCACCACUACCAGAUGGACCUGCGUUGUAUUAGCUAGUUGGUGGGGUAACGGCUCACCAAGGCGACGAUACAUAGCCGACCUGAGAGGGUGAUCGGCCACACUGGGACUGAGACACGGCCCAGACUCCUACGGGAGGCAGCAGUAGGGAAUCUUCGGCAAUGGACGGAAGUCUGACCGAGCAACGCCGCGUGAGUGAAGAAGGGUUUCGGAUCGUAAAGCUCUGUUGUAAGAGAAGAACGAGUGUGAGAGUGGAAAGUUCACACUGUGACGGUAUCUUACCAGAAAGGGACGGCUAACUACGUG
rnacentral:rRNA from 1 species